rnacentral:rRNA from 1 species
GACGAACGCUGGGGGCGUGCUUAACACAUGCAAGUCGAACGAAGUGGCGAACGGGUGAGUAACGCGUAAUCAACCUGCCCUUCAGAGGGGGACAACAGUUGGAAACGACUGCUAAUAACGCAUACUGAAGGCGGGGAUUGCGUCUGACUAGCUAGUUGGAGGGGUAACGGCCCACCAAGGCGAUGAUCAGUAGCCGGUCUGAGAAGAUGAACGGCCACAUUGGGACUGAGACACGGCCCAGACUCCUACGGGAGGCAGCAGUGGGGAAUCUUCCGCAAUGGACGAAAGUCUGACGGAGCAACGCCGCGUGAGUGAUGACGGCCUUCGGGUUGUAAAGCUCUGUUAAUCGGGACGCGUUACCGGAAUAGAAAGCCACGGCUAACUACGUGCCAGCAGCCGCGGUAAUAC